rnacentral:tRNA from 1 species
AGAGAGAUGUCCUAAACCACUAGACGAUGGGGGGC